GCGGGUGUAGCUCAAUGGUAGAGCAACAGCCUUCCAAGCUGAUGACGGCGGUUCGAUUCCGCUCACCCGCUCCA
rnacentral:tRNA from 3 species